CCUACGGGGGGCAGCAGUGGGGAAUAUUGCACAAUGGGGGAAACCCUGAUGCAGCGACGCCGCGUGAGUGAAGAAGUAAUUCGUUAUGUAAAGCUCUAUCAGCAGGGACGAAAAUGACGGUACCUGAGUAAGAAGCCCCGGCUAACUACGUUCCAGCAGCCGCGGUAAUACGUAGGGGGCAAGCGUUAUCCGGAUUUACUGGGUGUAAAGGGUGCGUACACGGCAGUGCAAGUCUGGAGUGAAAGGCUGGGGCUCAACCCCCGGACUGCUCUGGAAACUGUACGGCUGGAGUGCAGGAGAGGUAAGUGGAAUUCCUAGUGUAGCGGUGAAAUGCGUAGAUAUUAGGAGGAACACCAGUGGCGAAGGCGGCUUACUGGACUGUAACUGACGUUGAGGCUCGAAAGCGUGGGGAGCAAACAGGAUUAGAUACCCCGGUAGUC
rnacentral:rRNA from 1 species